rnacentral:rRNA from 1 species
AUUGAACGCUGGCGGCAGGCCUAACACAUGCAAGUCGAGCGAGCGGCGGACGGGUGAGUAAUGUCUGGGGAUCUGCCCGAUGGAGGGGGAUAACUACUGGAAACGGUGGCUAAUACCGCAUACUAUCGGAUGAACCCAGAUGGGAUUAGCUAGUAGGUGGGGUAAAGGCUCACCUAGGCGACGAUCUCUAGCUGGUCUGAGAGGAUGAUCAGCCACACUGGGACUGAGACACGGCCCAGACUCCUACGGGAGGCAGCAGUGGGGAAUAUUGCACAAUGGGCGCAAGCCUGAUGCAGCCAUGCCGCGUGUAUGAAGAAGGCCUUCGGGUUGUAAAGUACUUUCAGCGGGGAGGCGUUACCCGCAGAAGAAGCACCGGCUAACUCCGUGCCAGCCGCCGCGGUAAUUC